CAGAUAUCUUCCACCUCUACUUAUUUGACUGCAGAGAGGAGGACAGAGAACAGUGGACACACAGUUUAACAUGAUGGACUAUAGGACAGGACUGCUGCUUUUAACUAUCUGCUGGGCAGGUGUUGAUGGUCAGACUCUGACUCAAUCUGAACCAGUGAUUAAAAGGCCUGGAGAAUCUCACAGACUGACCUGUACAGCCUCUGGAUUCACAUUCAGUGACUACUGGAUGGCUUGGAUCAGACAGGCUCCUGGAAAAGGACUGGAGUGGAUCGUUUAUAUCACUAGUGACAGUAGUUACAAAGAUUCACUGAAGAACAAGUUCAGUAUCAGCUUAGACUCUUCCAGCAACACAGUGACUCUAAACGGACAGAAUGUGCAGCCUGAAGACACUGCUGUGUAUUACUGUGCCAGAGAGCCACAGUGACACAAAGCAUCAGUAGACCUGAACAAAAACCCCUCAGUGCCUGAACACUUGUAACAUGAAGCCACCAGAGGAGGAGCCCUCAGACCACUAAUGAUUUCAACACCAGCUCACUGUUAC